rnacentral:rRNA from 1 species
UACAGAGGUCUCAAGCGUUGUUCGGAAUCACUGGGCGUAAAGGGUGCGUAGGUGGCGUGGUAAGUCAGAUGUGAAAGCCCGGGGCUCAACCUCGGAACUGCAUCCGAUACUGCCAUGCUGGAGCGCUGAAGGGGUGACUGGAAUUCUCGGUGUAGCAGUGAAAUGCGUGGAUAUCGAGAGGAACGCCAAAGGCGAAGGCAGGUCACUGGGCAGUUGCUGACACUGAGGCACGAAGGCCAGGGUAGCGAACGGG